UCCUAGCCCCGAUUGCAGAGGAAAUCCUUGUUAUUGUGAGGUUGUUUCGCAAACUCGCAAUGACAAGAUUGUAACGGAAAGCGGGAAAAUGG
rnacentral:sRNA from 1 species